AGACAACAUCAUGGCUGGAUCCACGACUUGCGAAAAAGGCUAAACCUCCAGAAGAGUGCAAAGAAAAUGAUGUGUUCACGCUUACAUUGGUUGAUGUUCC
rnacentral:sRNA from 1 species